UACAGAGGUGGCAAGCGUUGUUCGGAAUUACUGGGCGUAAAGGGCGCGUAGGCGGCUUGGUCAGUCCCGUGUGAAAUCCCUCGGCUCAACUGAGGAACUGCACGGGAAACUGCCUGGCUUGAGUUCGGGAGAGGGAAGCGGAAUUCCGGGUGUAGCGGUGAAAUGCGUAGAUAUCGGAAGGAACAUCAGUGGCGAAAGCGGCUUCCUGGACCAGUACCGACGUUCAGGCACGAAAGCGUGGGGAGCAAACAGG
rnacentral:rRNA from 1 species